rnacentral:rRNA from 1 species
CAGUAGCCGCGGUAAUACAGAGGGUGCAAGCGUUAAUCGGAAUUACUGGGCGUAAAGCGCGCGUAGGUGGUUUGUUAAGUUGGAUGUGAAAGCCCCGGGCUCAACCUGGGAACUGCAUCCAAAACUGGCAAGCUAGAGUACGGUAGAGGGUGGUGGAAUUUCCUGUGUAGCGGUGAAAUGCGUAGAUAUAGGAAGGAACACCAGUGGCGAAGGCGACCACCUGGACUGAUACUGACACUGAGGUGCGAAAGCGUGGGGAGCAAACAGGAUUAGAGACCCGUGUAGUCCCUGUCUCUUAUAC